rnacentral:rRNA from 1 species
AGUGGAUGGGGAGCAACCUAGUUGUGCGUGUGUAAAGGUAGUGCCAAGAAAAGCGAUGAUCAUGUUGAAAAUCAAUUCCCGGUACCCGAAACCGACACAGGUGGGCAAGUAGAGAAUACUAAGGGGCGCGAGGUAACUCUCUCCAAGGAACUCGGCAAAAUGACCCCGUAACUUAGGGAGAAGGGGUGCCACCGAGAGGUGGUCGCAGUGAAGAGGCCCAGGCGACUGUUUAGCAAAAACAUAGGUCUCUGCAAACUCGAAAGAGGAGGUAUAGGGGCUGACGCCUGCCCAGUGCCGGAAGGUUAAAGAAGUUGGUCAGUUUUAGGAUGAAGCUAGCGACUGAAGCCCCGGUGAACGGCGGCCGUAACUAUAACGGUCCUAAGGUAGCGAAAUUCCUUGUCGGGUAAGUUCCGACCCGCACGAAAGGCGUAACGAUCUGGGCGCUGUCUCGGAGAGAGGCUCGGCGAAAUAGGAUUGUCUGUGAAGAUACGGACUACCUGCAUUUGGACAGAAAGACCCUAUGAAGCUUUACUAUAGCUUGGAAUUGUGUUCGGGCUUCCUGUGCGCAGGAUAGGUGGGAGGCGAAGAAGGUAUUCUUGUGGGGAUACUGGAGCCAACGGUGAGAUACCACUCUCAGGAGGCUAGAAUUCUAACUUAAUUAAGGACAGUUUCAGGUGGGUAGUUUGACUGGGGCGGUCGCCUCCAAAAAGGUAACGGAGGCGUACUAAGGUUCCCUCAGACUGGUUGGAAAUCAGUCGCAGAGUGCAAAGGCAGAAGGGAGCUUGACUGCGAGAAGUACAGUUCGAGCAGGGUGGAAACACGGUCUUAGUGAUCCGACGGUGCUGUGUGGAAGGGCCGUCGCUCAACGGAUAAAAGUUACUCUAGGAUAACAGGCUGAUCUCCCCCAAGAGUUCACAUCGACGGGGAGGUUUGGCACCUCGAUGUCGGCUCAUCGCAACCUGGGGCGGAAGUACGUCCCAAGGGUUGGGCUGUUCGCCCAUUAAAGCGGUACGUGAGCUGGGUUCAGAACGUCGUGAGACAGUUCGGUCCAUAUCCGAUGUAGGCGUGAGAAUAUUGAGAGGAGCCUUCCUUAGUACGAGAGGACCGGGAAGGACGCACCGCUGGUGUACCUGUUAUGAUGCCAAUUGUAAACGCAGGGUAGCCAAGUGCGGAGAGGAUAACCGCUGAAAGCAUCUAAGUGGGAAGCCCACCUCAAGAUGAGUAUUCUGGUGUAAGGUCACGGGAAGACGACCCGUAAAUAGGCACGAGGUGGAAGUGCGGAGAUGUAUGAAGCCGAAGUGUACUAAUAGACCGUCGGCUUGAC